rfam:Pseudooctadecabacter jejudonensis strain CECT 8397 genome assembly, contig: 0015
ACACCUGGCCCCAUUCCGAACCCAGCCGUUAAGUGCCGUAGCGCUGAUGGUACUGCGUCUUAAGACGUGGGAGAGUAAGUCACCGCCAAAC